UCAGAUCAUUCUCUUCCUCUCAUGUUUCUCUGCAAAUCGGUUAUCUUAAACACCUCAAUAACAACGUAGAGACAUCGAAGAGCGAAACGGAAGAACGGCAAGACAAGCGUGACCAAAUUCAAGCGGACCUCGAUCAUGCUAUGUCAGUCGGAAAGAAACGGAAACCCCAAGUGGAGAAAUGGCUCGUGAACGUCACCAAUAUCAGAGCUCAAGUCGAUUCUAUCAGAUCGGAAUUCGAGCAGCAGAAAACGUGUUUGAAUGGUUGUUGCGCCGAUCACUUCUCUCGCUACAAACUGGGUAAAAGGGUUGUUAAAAAGAUCGAAGAUGUCAAAAACCUCAAAAUAAAAGGAGUCUUCUAAAAGGUGGCUGAGAGCCCUCGCCGGCCGUGGGUGUUGGAGAUGCAAACAUCGCCACCUUUAGGACAACAAAGCACAUCUGAGCAAACCAUGGGGCAUAUAUGGCAAUGCUUACACGACGAGGAGAAUGGCGUCGUAGGUGUUUACGGGAUGGGAGGAAUUGGGAAAACCACUUUCACGAAAGACAUAAAGAAUAUGUUCAUUGGAAUUGAUGACUUCAACGUUGUGAUUUGGGUUGCAAUUUCACAUAAAUGAAGAGACGAGGGACAUGUUGUUUGUGCGGUUGAAGAGUCUGAGGUAUGUGCUCAUCUUAGAUGAUCUAUGGGAAUAAUUUACCUCGGAUCAAGUCGGAAUUCCAAAGCCAGACAAGCAAAAAAGAUGCAAGAUCAUGAUAACCACCUGAUCGGUUGCAGUGUGUAAUGCAAUGGGGGUGGAUGCGGUUCUGUCAUUGGAGAUUCGACCGGUAGCAGAGAAGGUUGUGGAGGAGUGCAGCGGAUUACCACUUGCAAUUAAAAUAGUGGGACGGGCGCUAUGGGAGAAUGCAUUGAGGGCAUUGAAAGGAUCAUCACCUGAGGUUCCAAGUAUGGAGUGUAAGGUGUUUCUUCCUUUGAAACUUAGUUAUGAUUGCCUAGAAAACGAUAAGAUCAAAUCAUGUUUCCUGUAUUGUUCAUUGUUUCCGGAAGAUUAUAAUAUAAAAAUAGAUCAUCUAAACACAUACUAGGCCGUGGAGGAAGGAUUCAUCAAAAAUGUGAAUAACUUGGAAGAAGCAUCUAACAAGGGGCAUGACAUCCUUGAAAGAAUCAAGGACGCAUGCCUCUUGGAGGAAGGGUUUGUAGCUAAUGUACAUGUCAAGAUUCAUGAUUUGCUCCGCGACUUAGCUAUAUGGAUCACUUCACAAUGGUUGUCAUCAUCCAACGAGGGCUCAGAAUUCCUUGUGAAAGCCGGGGAGGGACUAGUGCAGCCACCAGAAGAGAAAAUGUGGGGAGAGAUUGUAAGGAUUUCAUUGAUACGCUACAAAAUAAAAGAUCUCCAAAUUAAGCCCGAUUGCCCUAACUUGGUCUCCUUGUUUCUCAAUGACAACAAUCAAUUAUGUACCGUUCACAGUAGUUUCUUCGAGCUCAUGCUGAAACUUCAGAUCCUUGAUCUAAGUCAUUCUUGCAUCAAAUCUCUCCAGUGUCGUUAUUGCUAUUGUUGAAUCUACGUGCGCUCAUUCUAAGAUAUUGUAGACAUCUAGUGGAGGUGCUAGCAUUGGGAAAUUUGAAGGAACUCGAACUUCUUGAGCUCUCACACUCUGGCCUCAAAAAGUUUCCUCAAGGCAUUGCAAGCUUGGUUAAACUUCAGAGGUUAAAUCUAUCAUGUUCUCAUCUCCCCGCAGUUCCAUUGAAUAUGAUAUUCAGGCUACCUAGUCUGGAGGAUCUAAGCAUGUUGGGGCUGGGAUAUGUUGAUGGAGCUACUUUUGGUGAGGCUGUGACCAUGACAUGGCUGAGUUCUUUAAGAAUCACCAUGUCCAAUCUUAAUGGCCUCAUCCCAUAUGGUUUGUUCCAUCGAUGGUUUUCAGGGUUGAGAAGAUUCCAUGUUCAGCUUGUCUAUCAAGGGAGUGAUAUCCUCAUGCAUCCUUCUGAUAAGCAGAUAAGCAUUUGUGGAUGUCACAAUUUCCCCUGCGGGAUUGAGGGUUUGAUAAAACAUUCAAUCUCUUUAUUCUUCGAAAAAUGCAGAGACAUCUUGAAGUCUAUGGAUUCAGUGGAGUGGAAUGCAUUAUAGACUGGAGAGAGGUUGAAGAAUAUGCAUUGCAAUGUUUACAGCAGUUGGAUCUCGUUGGUUUACCAAACUUGGAGAAGGUAUUCGAUGGUGGAGCACCUCCACCGAACACAUGCCUUCAAAACCUAAGAAAUAUAUAUCUUGUAGAAUGUCCCAAUUUAAGGUGUCUCUUCUCCUCUAGUAUGGAUGGUAGAACAUCUACAUCAGUUAGAGAAGCUUCAAGUAUCGUACUGUUCCAAAAUGGAGGAUUAUAGAAGGCGACAUGCUGCUAGAUAAUUCAUUCCCAAGAUUACACUCCCUAUAUUUGGAGAACUUGCCGAAAUUAGCAAGCAUUCGUAGCCAGCGACUUAGUUUUGUAUCUUUGGAAGAGAUCCAUGUAAUUUCGUGUCCUGGGUUGAAGAAGCUCCCCCUCUUCUGUUCAAGCAUCAAUGAAAUAAAAGGAGGAAUAGCAGGUGAGAGAGAAUGGUGGGAAGGAUUAGAGUGGGAAGACGAGAAUGCCAAGUCCCUCUACCCCAGCAUUUAUGAAAGUGCCUGAUCACAGUUGAAGAAGCUUCCUCUCUUUGAUGCGGAAAAGGGAGAUUUUCUGAAUAUUACCAUGAGAAGAACAUCAAACUCUAAAAUCUUCUGAGAUAUUCCCAUUCCGAGAAAUUGGAACCAUUGUUGCGUCUAAGUUUUUAUGUGCUAAUGGAAGUACUCUUUUCAAAGUACGAGAGGGAACUAUCAAGUUACUUGGAAAGUCAGACAUGUACUAUUUCAAUCCUGAGCAUCCUCCCUUGACUGAACCAGCUCAAAGGGCACUCAAUUGGGCUCUUGAUGAAAAGAUGAAAUCAGGUUAGUUUUGUGCAUGGAUUUUCAUGUCAAAAUUGCUAGCUUUUGGGCCAUGGUGGUUUUAGUAUAUUAUCUUUUACAGUGAGAAGAGGGUAAGAGGCUUUUGGAGUAGAAAAGAGGAUGGAAAGGAGAUUUCCUGUUUUGAGAAAUGAGUUUGCUGGUUUUGGUAUGGAUGGAGAGCUCCAAUGUGCAAGCCCUCUCCUUCUGGCAUAAACUACGAAGAAUGUAUCGGACGGUUGAACCGGAUUGAGAGCAAUGCCGCAGCUAUUCAGCAAAUGCCAAGAGCAUUACAGGCAGCAUUUGAUAACAGAUUUGAUGGGGAGACAUCAUCACCAGCUCUAUGUUGGAACUUGGAGAACCUGCGAACAAAGUGCUUGGAAUCGCUACAAUGUAUUAGAAGAUUCGGAGCAGUUGCAGACCUGUUCUCAGGUGCCUGAAUCAUUGGAUGGAGAAAGCAUUGCAUCUUCAACCACCGAAAGCUGGGAGUCUAAAACCAAAAUCCAUGAAUUCAAUAAAUAUUCAUACUUCAGCAGUCAAAGGAGCAACAAAGAAAGAGGGCAUUCAGAAAGGAAUGCAUGCAGCCAACUGAUACUUUUUCCGAGGAGACAACUAAUACUUAAAAAAGGAAUGUCUCCACCAGUAAUGGAAGAAAUCAGCUUGUGUGCUUGAAUAAGGAUGAACUUGAAACAACACCGAAGAUGUUGCAUCAAAGUUCAUAUUUGUAUUUACUUCUGUGGAUUUUCUGUCAAGGUCUUUUUUCAGUAGGAAAGGAGGGAAAGGUAAGUGUUUGAGCAUGGGUGUGACGACAGUUUGAAUUGUUGUUAUGUAGUGUUUAAGCAUAGUAUGUUGAUUGUUUGAGAUGCAUAUCAAUUUCAUAUUACCUGCGUAUCAACCAUCACACCCUGCCAAGAGUACCAAAGCUUUUCUCUUCAUACUCCAGAUACGGUACGAUCGAGAAAUUGUUGAUGCAGAAAUUGUAUCUUUGCAUUCACAGUUGCAUGAACAUUGUGAUGAAAAUUUCAUUCAAAAUCUAGCUCUGUCAAUUGUAAUUCUUGCAGCAAGGUGAAGGGAAUUUAGAUUACUUA